CCUACGGGUGGCAGCAGUGAGGAAUAUUGGUCAAUGGACGAGAGUCUGAACCAGCCAAGUAGCGUGAAGGAUGACUGCCCUAUGGGUUGUAAACUUCUUUUAUAUGGGAAUAAAAUGUUCCACGUGUGGGAUUUUGUAUGUACCAUAUGAAUAAGGAUCGGCUAACUCCGUGCCAGCAGCCGCGGUAAUACGGAGGAUCCGAGCGUUAUCCGGAUUUAUUGGGUUUAAAGGGAGCGUAGGUGGAUUGUUAAGUCAGUUGUGAAAGUUUGCGGCUCAACCGUAAAAUUGCAGUUGAAACUGGCAGUCUUGAGUACAGUAGAGGUGGGCGGAAUGCGUGGUGUAGCGGUGAAAUGCUUAGAUAUCACGAAGAACUCCGAUUGCGAAGGCAGUUCACUGGACUGCAACUGACUCUGAGGCUCGAAAGUGUGGGUAUCAAACAGUAUUAGAUACCCGUGUAGUC
rnacentral:rRNA from 1 species